GAGGCUCCGUGGGUUUUGGGAAGCAGCGGGUACGCGGCGCUCUCCUCUCGGCCCGCAGCCGGGAACCAAGGCCCGUGGCGGGGUGGGGGGGGGGGGGGGGAAAGGGAGAAACGAACAAGAUAGGAUGACUGCGCAGCCGACGUAGCCGCGAGGGGGCAGGAGUCACCUCAGGCCCUGGCCUGAAACCCUCUGAGGCGGGUGGCCGGCAGAAGGGCCGCCUCCAAGUCUCCCUCUCCUUCUUUUCUUUUUUCGGUCUCCCUCUGUUGCCGAAGCUGGACUGUACUGCCGUAAUCUCGGCUCGCUGCAACCUCCCUGCCUUGGGCUCCUGUGACUCUCCUGCCUUGGCCUGCCGAGUGCCUGGGAUUGCAGGCGCGCGCCGCCACGCCUGAAUGGUUUUUGUAUUUUUGGUGGAGACAGGGUUUCGCCGUGUUGACCGGGCUGGUCUCCAGCUCCUGGCCUCGAGUGAUCUGCCUGCCUCGGCCUCCCGAGGUGCUGGGAUUGCAGACGGAGUCUCGCUUACUCAAUGCUCAGUGGUGCUCAGGCUGGAGUGCAGUGGCGUGAUCUCGGCUCGCUGCAACCUCCACCUACCAGCCUCCUGCCUUGGCCUCUUAAAGUGCUAAGAUUACAGCCUCUGCCCUGCCGCCACCCCGUCUAGGAAGUGAGGAGCGUCUCUGCCUGGCCGCCCAUCGUCUGGGAUGUGAGGAGCCCCUCUGCCCGGCCGCCCCAUCUGGGAAGUGGGGAGCGCCUCUGCCCGGCCGCCCCAUCUGGGAAGUGAGGAGCGCCUCUGCCCGGCCGCCCAUCGUCUGGGAGGUGAGGAGUGCCUCUGCCCGGCCGCCCCGUCUGGGAAGUGAGGAGCGCCUCUGCCCGGCUGCCCCGUCUGGGAGAUGAGGAGCACCUCUGCCCGGCUGCCCCGUCUGGGAGGUGAGGAGCACCUCUGCCUGGCCGCCACCCCGUCUGGCAGGAAGUGAGGAGCACCUCUGCCCGGCCGCCACCCCAUAUGGGAAGUGAGGAGCACCUCUGCCCGGCCGCCCCGUCUGGGAAGUGAGGAGCACCUCUGCCCGGCUGCCACCCCGUCUGGGAGGAAGUGAGGAGCACCUCUGCCCAGCUGCCCCGUCUGGGAGAUGAGGAGCACCUCUGCCCAGCCGCCCCGUCUGGGAGGUGAGGAGCGCCUCUGCCCGGUCACCCUGUCUGGGAAGUGAGGAGUGCCUCUGCCUGGCUGCCACCCCGUCUGGGAGGAAGUGAGGAGCGCUUCUGCCUCGCUGCCCCAUCUGGGAAGUGAGGAGCGCCUCUGCCCAGCCGCCACACCGUCUGGGAAGUGAGGAGCGCCUCUGCCUGGCCACCCCGUCUGGGAGGUGAGGAGCGCCUCUGCCCGGCCGCCCAGUCUGGGAAGUGAGGAGCGCCUCUGCCCGGCCGCCCCGUCUGGGAGGUGAGGAGCGCCUCUGCCCGGCUGCCACCCCGUCUGGGAGGAAGUGAGGAGCGCCUCUGCCUGGCCGCCCCGUCUGGGAGGUGAGGAGCGUCUGUGCCCGGCGGCCCAGUCUGGGAAGUGAGGAGCGCCUCUGCCCGGCUGCCCUGUCUGGGAGGUGAGGAGCGCCUCUGCCUGGCCGCCCUGUCUGGGAGGAAGUGAGGAGCGCCUCUGCCUGGCCGCCCUGUCUGGGAGGUGUACCCAACAGCUCUGAAGAGACAGCGACCAUCGGGAGCGGGCCAUGAGGACGAUGGCGGUUUUGUUGAAAAGAACGGGGGGAAGUGUGGGGAAAGGAAGGAGAGAUCAGAUUGUUGCUGUGUCUGUGUAGAAAGAGGUGGGCAUAGGAGACUCCAUUUUGUUCUGACUAGGAGAAAUUCUGCCUUGGGAUGCUGUUGAUCUAUGGCCUUUCCCCCAGCCCCCUGCUCUCUGAAACAUGUGCAGUGUCAACUCAGGGUUAAAUGGAUUAAGGGCGGUGCAAGAUGUGCUUUGUUAAACAGAUGCUUGAAGGCAGCAUGCUCUUUUAAGAGUCAUCACCACUCCCUAAUCUCAAGUACCCAGGGGCACAAACACUGCAGAAGGCCGCAGGGACCUCUGCCUAGGAAAACCAGAGACCUUUGUACAUGUGUUUAUCUGCUGACCUUCUCUCCACUAUUAUCCUAUGACCCUCCCAUAUCCCCCUCUCCGAGAAACACCCAAGAAUGAUCAAUAAAUACUUCAUAAAAAAAAUAAAAAAAUAAAAAAAUAGAAAUAAAAAUCUAUAUAUAAA